CUGGCCUCAUAGCACAUAUCCUAACAAACAGAAAUAGCCUCUUCCCUUCAGUCUUUUCAAAAUAAGAGCGUGUCAGAAAGCACAGGAGGACACUCGCUUUUCGGCGGGAGCCUGAACGAAACAGAAAGACUUUAGACUCAGCAGAGAGUCAGAGUGAGGACUGUGACCUUCACCUCCAUCUUACCUGUGGGGUCGAUGGUGGAGACCAGGACCAGCAGGCCAGCAAUCCACGCCCGGACCUGCAUUCUCUUCUUUCCCGAGACACGGCUUGACUCUUGAGCUGUUCUGUGUCUCUGGCGUCAACGUGAAACGACUGAGCCCAGCUUGAGUCGUCCUCCGUCGUCUCUGAGUGGAACAGGAAGUGGUGAGAGGCUGCUCUGCCAGAUGCUCAGUGUCAUUGGCCUCCAUUGGCCUUCUGCGACGGCCCACGGCAGCUUCAACUGUAUUUAUUUGUACAUGUAACAUGUAAAAGAGAUGUCAGAAAUGAAUGAGCAAAAAGAAAGAGAUAAUAGUUGUGUAGUUGUGCUGUAUUUAGCUUAAGAGCCAUAACAAUGAUGA